UACGUAGGAGGCAAACGUUAUCCGGAUUUACUGGGCGUAAAGCGCGUGUAGGUGGUUCUGUAAGUAGGGCGUGAAAGCUCCCGGCUCAACUGGGAGAGGCCGUUCUAAACUGCAGAGCUAGAGGAUGGUAGAGGGAGGUGGAAUUCCAGGUGUAGCGGUGGAAUGCGCAGAUAUCUGGAGGAACACCAGUGGCGAAGGCGGCCUCCUGGACCAUUCCUGACACUCAGACACGAAAGCUAGGGUAGCAAACGGGAUUAGAUACCCCGGUAGUCCCU
rnacentral:rRNA from 1 species